rnacentral:tRNA from 1 species
GCCGGGGUGGCCAAGCGGUUAAGGCGCUGCGCUCAUAACGCAGAGAUCGAGGGUGAGCCCUUUCUUUCAGGGAAAGAAAGUGUUCAUCCUGCUUCGCAGGCAUAUUACUGGGAAAUUGGGUAAGAAUAAGGCUUCCUCGAAUUCAAAUCCCUUCCCCGGCA